GAAGGCAGCAGCGCUCGCGGUCUGGGCUGGGGGCAUCGU
rnacentral:SRP_RNA from 13 species